rnacentral:rRNA from 1 species
UACGUAGGUGGCAAGCGUUGUCCGGAAUUAUUGGGCGUAAAGCGCACGUAGGCGGUCUUGUAAGUCGGGUGUGAAAGCCCGGGGCUUAACCCCGGAAGUGCACUCGAAACUGCAAGGCUUGAGUAUGGAAGAGGGUCUCGGAAUUCCCGGUGUAGAGGUGAAAUUCGUAGAUAUCGGGAGGAACACCAGUGGCGAAGGCGGAGACCUGGGCCAAUACUGACGCUGAGGUGCGAAAGCGUGGGGAGCAAACAGG